rnacentral:rRNA from 1 species
CUCAGGAUGAACGCUGGCGGCGUGCUUAACACAUUCAAGUCGAACGAGCAACGGUUGAAAGCUUGCUUUUGACCCGCGCGAGUGGCGGACGGGUGAGUAACGCGUGAGCAACCUGCCUUACUCAGGGGAAUAACAUCGGGAAACCGGUGCUAAUACCGCAUGAUGCAUCGAGGUCGCAUGGCCAUGAUGCCAAAGGAGCAAUCCGGAGUAAGAUGGGCUCGCGUCUGAUUAGGUAGUUGGUGGGGUAACGGCCUACCAAGCCGACGAUCAGUAGCCGGACUGAGAGGUUGAACGGCCACAUUGGAACUGAGAUACGGUCCAGACUCCUACGGGAGGCAGCAGUGGGGAAUAUUGGGCAAUGGGGGAAACCCUGACCCAGCAAUGCCGCGUGAAGGAAGAAGGCCUUCGGGUUGUAAACUUCUUUUACCGGGGACGAAAAAAUGACGGUACCCGGCGAAUAAGCUCCGGCUAACUACGUGCCAGCAGCCGCGGUAAUACGUAGGGAGCAAGCGUUAUCCGGAUUUACUGGGUGUAAAGGGCGCGUAGGCGGGAUUGCAAGUCAGAUGUGAAAUCUCAGGGCUCAACCCUGAAACUGCAUUUGAAACUGUAGUUCUUGAGUACUGGAGAGGUUGACGGAAUUCCUAGUGUAGCGGUGAAAUGCGUAGAUAUUAGGAGGAACGCCAGUGGCGAAGGCGGUCAACUGGACAGCAACUGACGCUGAGGCGCGAAAGCGUGGGGAGCAAACAGGAUUAGAUACCCUGGUAGUCCACGCUGUAAACGAUGAAUACUAGGUGUGGGAGGACUGACCCCUUCCGUGCCGCAGUUAACACAAUAAGUAUUCCACCUGGGGAGUACGGCCGCAAGGUUGAAACUCAAAGGAAUUGACGGGGGCCCGCACAAGCAGUGGAUUAUGUGGUUUAAUUCGAAGCAACGCGAAGAACCUUACCAGGGUUUGACAUCCCGGUGACCGCUCUAGAGAUAGGGUUUUCUCUUCGGAGACACCGGUGACAGGUGGUGCAUGGUUGUCGUCAGCUUGUGUCGUGAGAUGUUGGGUUAAGUCCCGCAACGAGCGCAACCCUUAUUGCUAGUUGCUACGCAAGAGCACUCUAGCGAGACUGCCGUUGACAAAACGGAGGAAGGUGGGGACGACGUCAAAUCAUCAUGCCCCUUAUAUCCUGGGCUACACACGUAAUACAAUGGCACUCAACAAAGGGCAGCAAAACAGUGAUGUGGAGCCAAUCCUCAAAAAGUGUCCCAGUUCGGACUGCAGUCUGCAACUCGACUGCACGAAGUCGGAAUUGCUAGUAAUCGCGGAUCAGCAUGCCGCGGUGAAUAC